CCUCGUCGGGAGCCGCGGGCGGGGCCCGCCCCAAAGCCUCUUAAGCUCCUCCGGAGGCUGCCGGGAGCCACGGGGGAGUUUCUGCGGUUGUGGAUAGGCGACGGCGGGGGUUCUGUUUCUUUGUCGGGCCCUGGUGUUGCUGAGGCUGAGAAGCGGUACGCGGGGUUUUUUGGGGGGGACGGAGCCUUGAGGUUCUCUUUAAUGUUUUCGUGGUGUCGUUUUGUUUCAGGCUGCUGUGAGCCCUUUUGCGGUAAGGACCAGCCCAAACAGGCUGAGCGUGGGCUGCAGCAGAGGCUCUCAUCGGCCCGAAGCAGUGAGCUCGUGGAAGCGGUGAGUGUUUGAGAGUCGCUCGGUAAGAUCUCUCGUGCUGGGGCUCCUGUAGGGUUGCUGCUCGACUGCCUCCGUGUCUUUGGGAUCGGCACGGCGCCGCCGCUGGGCUCCCGCGUGGCUUUUUAGUAGGACCGGCACGGGGCCGCCGCCCGAGACCGAGCACGAUCCCGGGGUGGCCUCGGCCACUGCGGAGGGUUUUGCGGGUGCUCUCACCCAUCCCGUUUCCAGCGGUGGGAGCGAGCAGGUUGGGACCGUGGUUUUUUUUUUUUCCCCGCCUCUUCCUUCCCGUGUAACUGCAGGAGCACGAUUUAGGUUCCCACCGUGGAGACCUGGCAGGGCAGCUCGCACGACUGGAGUGCUGUCGUGGAUGGCUCUGUUCCUUUUAGGAAAGACAGACCGGCCAGACGGUGGAGUCUCUCUCUCUUCGAGGGAGAGAACGGGAACGUAUCGAGCUCCACCUAGGGGUGAAUGAAGAACCAGCGGAGCGUUUGUGCGUGAGGCUGAAGAGGCAGCUGGAAAUGGUGCCCACAGCUGUGAGGCCAGUUCUCAUGGUAGGCUCCAGGAGUUUCCUGCAGUGUGUCAAAGGUAAGAUCUUCUGACACAGGUGACGAAGGAGGCAUUGAGGAGAGGGGCUGCUGGAGCUCCCUAUUGCAGAAGAGCCAUUUGGGGACAGGAAGGCCAGGGGCAGCCUGGAGCGUGCCAGUCGUGAGACCACAGCGUUUGGGAUCUUGUGUGGAAGCUGCAAAGCAAUGAGUAGGAUUGAAACACUGGACUUAGAGGGAGCCAAGUUUGUCCUCUUGAAGGGCCUACUUGGAGGUAACCCUUGCUCAAGCAUAGGAAGGGGUCCUGUGAAUGCUGGAGCAUUACUUUGUCCAUGCUGAGGUGCGCUGCGUCCCAAGGAGGAAGGAACUGCGCAGGAAUGGUGGGGGACCUGCAGGGCUGACUGAGGAACUUGAAGGGGAGAAGGAAGAGAGAGGCUGAGGAAGGCCAAGUCCCUCUGAGUAUCAGCUUUGGGAGGGAGGUCAAGGCUAAUGGAAGUUUGUCAACAGGAGAGACUGGAGAAAUUGCAGGCCUGCGCUUUACAAGGCGGAGGCCUGAGUAAUGAGGCCUGAGGCGGAGGCCUCUUGGGUUCAGUGGUUUCUGCUGAGAGUGCUCCUGGGGAACCUGGGGUCCUGGAGGAGAGAGUCCCUGAGGAAGGAUGUCUUCCCCUCAGUUGCGGAGGAGCUGGUCAAAGGUAGUUCAGGCAGAAAGGAGGCCAGCAAAUGCCUGAGCUGUAGAGGGCUAUGUCUGUGCCCGCUGAGAGCUGGCAGCGGUGACUGGCAAUAGCUCUGUCACUUUUCCCUGCUGUUUCCUGUGGGAAAGGUACCUGAAGACUGGAGGAUGGCGGAUGCCACCGCAGCCUUCAGAAAGGGUGUGGAGGAUGGCGUGUGCAACUUGGAGGUAGGUUGGCCUCAUGUCUGUUUCUGGGGAGGUGACGCAACAGCUUGUUGCAGGUGUCAUUGCCAUGUGACCGGAGGAGAAGGAAUUUGCAAGGAGCAGUCCAGGUGGAUGGACAGAGGAGAAGUCAUGCCGGACCAAAAGGGUGAAGGCUGCAGAGAGGAUUGGCUGGAGCAGGUGUGCAGUUUUCCCAGGGGUGGGAUGAAGGAGGUGAGAGAGGGGGAGCCCCAGGCGGGAGCCCUCGUGGUGGAGGGCUGCCCCCAGGAGCGCCCCCUUGGAGGUGGUUUGUGGAGGUCUCUGCGCAGGUUCAGGCUGGAGGCAGGAUCCUGGCGGUGUGAGCGGGGCGCCCCUGUGGAGCAAGGGUGGAAGGUGCGUGGCAGGUCCUGUCCCGGAGGAGUGGAGUUAAGGGUCCUGGCGUGGCUGUUUUCCUGCAUGGAAGAUGGAGAUCCUGGGAGCUGCGAUGAGGAGGAGCAGAGCCAGCAGUGGCUCCUGUGUGGCGAUGGCUGCUUUGUGUGGUGCUCCUGGGCUGAAAGGAGGAGGAGAAAAAAGUUUUUAGUGUGGUUCUUCAAAGCUCAGUUUCCCUUCAGCAAGAAGCUAUGGGGAGCUUCUAGGUCUAAUGCUGUUCCUCUGCUUUUGAGUACAAUGCCUCAGACUCACUUCACUCACCAGAUGAAAUCUCUGAGGAUCUUUCCUGUGUCUGUAUUGUUGCAGCUGAAUUUCUGCACGGCAGCCUUUCUCGAAUGCAGUAGGGCUUCCCUGGCUUGAAGAUGAGCAUGCUGUACUGAGGGAGGAGUGGCUAGACUAACUUGACUAGGCUAGACUAUUUCUAACUAGACCAGAGGACAAGAUUUCCUGCUUUUGUAAUGCAGGGAGGGGGAUGUCUGAGCUGAAAGUAGAUGGUGCAUUCCUGUGGUAGAGGAAUGUGAAAAGAUGGGUCUUGAGUCAGUACUGGAGACCUGGGCUGUGCAUCUGUGUUCCUCCAUCUAUAAUGAGAAGAAAGGGUUUCUUUUUUUUUUUUAAUUUUGUUGUUUUAACAAGUAACAAAUAAAAUUCAAGGGAGCUUGGCAACUGUGUUUGACUGUGAGUGGUUCCAGAAGUCUGACCUUUGUUCUUCUGUCAUUCAUAUUGAACACUGAUCCCUAGGUGCACAGUGCACAAGGAGGCUCUAACCUUCUCCAGUUUCUACACUCACUGGAAGUAAUUAUGGCCAUAGUCAUUUCCCUUCCACAUCAACAUUGGUUACUGUACUGAGCAGAUAAAUCCCUUCCCCCAAACCUAUGUGGCUGCAUGACAAACCACAAGGACUCCUUGUUUAAGAAGAAAUAACAGCAAAAAUAAGCCAUCCAGGGCUAAGAGGUCUUUCAAACUUGAUGUGAUAUGUCUGUUCCUCAGGGGUUCGUAUGGUCUCGUGUACUUGACACUGCAAAAAAACAGUAGCAGAAGCAGUGAAACUAAGGAAAGAGGAAGGUUUCAGAUAUCACCU
rnacentral:lncRNA from 1 species